GGCUCCGUGGCUUAAUGGUUACGGCUUCUGCCUCACAAGCAGAAGGUUCAGGGAUCAAAUCCCGGUCGGUACA
rfam:Culex pipiens quinquefasciatus supercont3.16 genomic scaffold, whole genome shotgun sequence.